UACGUAGGGUCCGAGCGUUGUCCGGAAUCACUGGGCGUAAAGCGCACGUAGGCGGAUUGCUAAGUCAGGGGUGAAAUCCUGGAGCUCAACUCCAGAACUGCCUUUGAUACUGGCGACCUUGAGUCCGGGAGAGGUGAGUGGAACUGCGAGUGUAGAGGUGAAAUUCGUAGAUAUUCGCAAGAACACCAGUGGCGAAGGCGGCUCACUGGCCCGGUACUGACGCUGAGGUGCGAAAGCGUGGGGAGCAAACAGGG
rnacentral:rRNA from 1 species